UACGAGGGGAGCAAGUGUUAUUCGUACUGAUUGGGCGUAAAGGGUACGUAGGUUGUUAAUUAAGUUUAAAGUUAAAUUCUAGAGCUCAACUCUUGUCAAACUUUUUGAUACUGAUUAACUUUGAGUAGUUUAGAGGAUAGUAGGACUCUUGGUGGAAAGAUACAAUUUGAUGAUAUCAAGGAUACGAAGUUGCGUAGGCAACUAUCCAUUUAUUACUGACACUGAGGUACAAAAGUAUGGGGAGCAUUUAGG
rnacentral:rRNA from 1 species